GCUAUCGGUUAAUUUAAUGUAUUACUUAGUUGUUAUGUACUGCGAGAAAUAUUUACAUGAAGAAUAUUUGCUGGUAUCCAAAGGUAAAUGGAACUUAUCGGUAUUAUUGGAGUAUUUCACGUAAAUACUAUUAUUAAGAAAACACAACCAUAUCAUUGAACGAGAUAAAAGUAACGGCAAGGGGCCCAACAUUUAAUAGUGACCUCGACAAGGCAAAUUUUGGAUAAAGAGGAGUAAUUAUAACAUCGUUAUUUCAUAAUCACUUCACCACUGAACAGAUGCCUGUCAUUACGUUUACAGUAUGUUAUAUGAUCAUCACAUAUGAUGCUCUUCGCAGAAACAAUUUUCUUUCAUGUCAAUUGUAAAUCUAUAUAUGUUUAGACCUAGCAACGUCAAUGGCACA